AUGCAGUACUGGUCGGGAUCAACCGUGAUCAAGAAGACGGUUGAUCGAGUCGUCUGCCCUGCAUUGCACAGCGUGGCGGUGGGCGGCUAGGGCUCCAUUUCGAAGGAGACCUCCGGCAUAAUUUUUGCUGGCUAC
rnacentral:snRNA from 18 species